GGGGUUGUGGCUCAGUGGUAGAGCACUUGCCUCAAAUGUGUGAGGUCCUAGGUUCAAUCCUCAGCACCA
rnacentral:tRNA from 1 species